GCUGAGGUCUAUCCCCAUGGGCUACCCCUACAGGCUUUCCCUGUAGGCCCACGUUGUUGGAAAUGCCUCACAAAGUAACUAUGUGGUUUUUGCUUUACUCACAGAACUAUUUGUUAGAUCUGUAGGAAAAAACUACAAGACAGAG